AUGGUUGGCUGCCUCGCCAUGUGUACGAAUUCCAUAUUGGCAGAGUCCUUCAUGGGUGCACAUUUGACAGACUCAAGGGUGCUUGCCUUUGGCCUCAACUUGUCCAUCUUCCACGUGAUCCAAUCAACCACCGCAGUGAACUUGAAUGUUGCUGGCAACCAUAAAGUUGCUGUUGCGGUAUCCGUCUCAUGGUUGACCUUCCGGAAACCCAAUGAAUGCAAUUUGGUGCGCAAUCAUGCUCGUCGGCUGUACUUUCUCCCAACAGCCCCCGAGGAGCCAAGGAACGAAACCUUGGCCACUUCCCAUAGUUAG
rnacentral:rRNA from 1 species